rnacentral:rRNA from 1 species
UACGGGGGGGGGCAAGCGUUGUUCGGAAUUACUGGGCGUAAAGGGCUCGUAGGCGGCCAACUAAGUCGGAUGUGAAAUCCCCAGGCUCAACCUGGGAACUGCAUCCGAUACUGGAUGGCUUGAAUUCGGGAGAGGGAUGCAGAAUUCCAGGUGUAGCGGUGAAAUGCGUAGAUAUCUGGAGGAACACCGAUAGCGAAGGCAGGUCUCUGGGCAUUAACUGACGCUGAGGAGCGAAAGCAUGGGGAGCGAACAGG